CUUAUGCGUUGUUGGGUAGGGGAGCGUUCUGUAAGCCUGUGAAGGUGUACUGUGAGGUAUGCUGGAGGUAUCAGAAGUGCGAAUGCUGACAUAAGUAACGAUAAAGCGGGUGAAAAGCCCGCUCGCCGGAAGACCAAGGGUUCCUGUCCAACGUUAAUCGGGGCAGGGUGAGUCGACCCCUAAGGCGAGGCCGAAAGGCGUAGUCGAUGGGAAACAGGUUAAUAUUCCUGUACUUGGUGUUACUGCGAAGGGGGGACGGAGAAGGCUAUGUUGGCCGGGCGACGGUUGUCCCGGUUUAAGCGUGUAGGCUGGUUUUCCAGGCAAAUCCGGAAAAUCAAGGCUGAGGCGUGAUGACGAGGCACUACGGUGCUGAAGCAACAAAUGCCCUGCUUCCAGGAAAAGCCUCUAAGCAUCAGGUAACAUCAAAUCGUACCCCAAACCGACACAGGUGGUCAGGUAGAGAAUACCAAGGCGCUUGAGAGAACUCGGGUGAAGGAACUAGGCAAAAUGGUGCCGUAACUUCGGGAGAAGG
rnacentral:rRNA from 1 species